ACGAACGCUGGCGGCGUGCUUAACACCUGCAAGUCGAACGGAAAGGCCCUGCUUUUGUGGGGUGCUCGAGUGGCGAACGGGUGAGUAACACGUGAGUAACCUGCCCUUGACUUUGGGAUAACUUCAGGAAACUGGGGCUAAUACCGGAUAGGAGCUCCUGCUGCAUGGUGGGGGUUGGAAAGUUUCGGCGGUUGGGGAUGGACUCGCGGCUUAUCAGCUUGUUGGUGGGGUAGUGGCUUACCAAGGCUUUGACGGGUAGCUGGCCUGAGAGGGUGACCGGCCACAUUGGGACUGAGAUACGGCCCAGACUCCUACGGGAGGCAGCAGUGGGGAAUAUUGCACAAUGGGCGGAAGCCUGAUGCAGCAACGCCGCGUGCGGGAUGACGGCCUUCGGGUUGUAAACCGCUUUCGCCUGUGACGAAGCGUGAGUGACGGUAAUGGGUAAAGAAGCACCGGCUAACUACGUG
rnacentral:rRNA from 1 species